GACGAUUUCACAUUAUGAUAAAUUUAAACGAAUAUUAACUUCCAGAAUCAAAAACACAUGCUUGUAGACAGAUUCGCAAUAAUGAAUUUAGGAAUGCGUUUAUUAAGCUUUCUUGCAGUCUUUGUAUGGAUAGUUACAACCGAAGGAGAUGAAUCACACAGUGGUUGUAAGUGUGGUAAAAAAGAGAAAAGUCGUUUUGGCGGUGAUGCUUUUUGCUGCGGAACGCUUUUUGUGGAUCCGGCCGAGAUAUCCAGAUGCCUCGGAUGUUUGUAUAACAACCAUCAACAUUUUCUAAAUCUAUAUAACUGUUCACAAGAACAAGGAAAAAAACAUCACCGCCAAACAGAAGUGAGCAGCAUCUCUAAUAGUAAG